ACCGGCCGCCGAUGUGAUGGAUAUCUGGAUAAUUCGGCUUAGAAUUUGAUCCUGACUCAUAUUCAACGCUGGCGGUAGGCUUCCCCCAUCACGAUCAAACGGAACCGAUGUACCUCGCUACUAGCGUCUAACCGCGGAAUGGUGGUUGCUGGUUUAGAAUCUGCCCUCUACUGGGGGACUUCCUGUGGAUACUCAUGCUAUUUACCGCUCCUACCCUUAGGGGAAACCCGAGGGAUCGACGGAAAA
rnacentral:rRNA from 1 species